GACCCUGGGGCGUAAAGCGCGUGCAGGCGGUUUGGUAAGUUGGAUGUGAAAGCUCCCGGCUCAACUGGGAGAGGCCGUUCAAAACUACCAGACUCGAGGACGGUAGAGGGAGGUAGAAUUCCCGGUGUAGUAGUGAAAUGCGUAGAUAUCGGGAGGAAUACCAGUGGCGAAGGCGGCCUCCUGGACCGUUCCUGACGCUCAGACGCGAAAGCUAGGGGAGCGAACGGGAUUAGAAACCCCGGUAGUCCUAGCUGUAAACGAUGCAAACUUGGCGUUGGUGGGGUAAAAUCCGCCGGUGCCGAAGCUAACGCGUUAAGUUUGCCGCCUGGGGACUACGGCCGCAAGGUUAAAACUCAAAGGAAUUGACGGGGCCCCGCACAAGCAGCGGAGCGUGUGGUUUAAUUCGUUGCUACGCGAAAAACCUUACCCGGGUUUGACAUAUAGGUGGUAGGGAUCCGAGAGGUGACCGACCCUUCGGGGAGCCUAUACAGGUGCUGCAUGGCUGUCGUCAGCUCGUGCCGUGAGGUGUCCGGUUAAGUCCGGUAACGAGCGCAACCCUCGCUGUAUGUUACAAGUGUCAUACAGGACUGCCGGUAUCAAGCCGGAGGAAGGCGGGGAUGACGUCAAGUCAGCAUGGCCUUUAUAUCCGGGGCUACACACACGCUACAAUGGCCGGUACAAUGGGUCGCAAAGCCGCGAGGUAGAGCCAAUCCCCAAAACCGGUCUCAGUUCAGACUGCAGGCUGCAACCCGCCUGCACGAAGCCGGAGUUGCUAGUAAACGCGCGUCAGCAUUAGUGCGUUGAAUACGUUCCCGGGGCUUGUACACACCGCCCGUCACGUCAUGGGAGCUGGUAACACCUGAAGCCGGUAUCCUAACCCGUAAGGGAGGGAGCUGUCGAAAGGUGGGACUGGUGACUGGGACGAAGUCGUAACAAGGUAACC
rnacentral:rRNA from 1 species